AGGACGAACGCUUGCGGCGUGCCUAAGAAAUGCAAGUCGAGCGGGGAGCAAUCCCAGCGGCGAACGGUCGCGUAACACGUAAGCAACCUGCCCGAAAGACCGGGAUAACGUUUCGAAAGAGGCGCUAAUACCGGAUGUGGCCACCGAGAGAUAUCUUUUGGUGAUUAAAUCAUUUAUGGCUUUCGGAGGGGCUUGCGGCCUAUCAGCUAGAUGGCGAGGUAACGGCUCACCAUGGCGUCGACGGGUAGCUGGUCUGAGAGGAUGGUCAGCCGGACUGGGACUGAGAUACGGCCCAGACUCCUACGGGGGGCAGCAAUUAGGAAUCUUGCGCAAUGGGCGAAAGCCUGACGCAGCGACGCCGCGUGGAGGAGGAAGGCCUUCGGGUUGUAAACUCCUUUUAGGUGGGAAGAAACAAAUGACGGUACCACCAGAAUAAGCCCGGCUAACUCCGCGCCAGCAGCCGC
rnacentral:rRNA from 1 species